rnacentral:rRNA from 1 species
CCUACGGGAGGCAGCAGUGAGGAAUAUUGGUCAAUGGACGAGAGUCUGGACCAGCCAAGUAGCGUGAAGGAUGACUGCCCUAUGGGUUGUAAACUUCUUUUAUAUGGGAAUAAAAUGUUCCACGUGUGGGAUUUUGUAUGUACCAUAUGAAUAAGGAUCGGCUAACUCCGUGCCAGCAGCCGCGGUAAUACGGAGGAUCCGAGCGUUAUCCGGAUUUAUUGGGUUUAAAGGGAGCGUAGGUGGAUUGUUAAGUCAGUUGUGAAAGUUUGCGGCUCAACCGUAAAAUUGCAGUUGACACUGGCAGUCUUGAGUACAGUAGAGGUGGGCGGAAUUCGUGGUGUAGCGGUGAAAUGCUUAGAUAUCACGAAGAACUCCGAUUGCGAAGGCAGCUCACCGGACUGCAACUGACACUGAGGCUCGAAAGUGUGGGUAUCAAACAGGAUUAGAUACCCGUGUAGUC